rnacentral:rRNA from 1 species
AUUGAACGCUGGCGGCAGGCCUAACACAUGCAAGUCGAGCGGAUGAAGGGAGCUUGCUCCUGGAUUCAGCGGCGGACGGGUGAGUAAUGCCUAGGAAUCUGCCUGGUAGUGGGGGAUAACGUCCGGAAACGGGCGCUAAUACCGCAUACGUCCUGAGGGAGAAAGUGGGGGAUCUUCGGACCUCACGCUAUCAGAUGAGCCUAGGUCGGAUUAGCUAGUUGGUGGGGUAAAGGCCUACCAAGGCGACGAUCCGUAGCUGGUCUGAGAGGAUGAUCAGUCACACUGGAACUGAGACACGGUCCAGACUCCUACGGGAGGCAGCAGUGGGGAAUAUUGGACAAUGGGCGAAAGCCUGAUCCAGCCAUGCCGCGUGUGUGAAGAAGGUCUUCGGAUUGUAAAGCACUUUAAGUUGGGAGGAAGGGCAGUAAGUUAAUACCUUGCUGUUUUGACGUUACCAACAGAAUAAGCCCCGGCUAACUUCGUG